rfam:Peptoniphilus harei ACS-146-V-Sch2b contig00012, whole genome shotgun sequence.
AUUACAAGCUAUAUAGAGAAUGAAAAAUGGCUACUGGUACUCAUAUGGUACUGGAAGCUAAAAAGAAUAAACUAAAUAAUAGUUCCAAGUGGUUUACAUUUGGACAAAAAAUUAGAUCAUAACUUAAGUGUUA